rnacentral:rRNA from 1 species
GAUGAACGCUGGCGGCGUGCUUAACACAUGCAAGUCGAACGGAAAGGCCAGUGCUUGCACUGGUACUCGAGUGGCGAACGGGUGAGUAACACGUGGGUGAUCUGCCCUGUACUUCGGGAUAAGCUUGGGAAACUGGGUCUAAUACCGGAUAGGACAACUUUUUGGAUAUUGUUGUGGAAAGCUUUUGCGGUAUGGGAUGAGCUCGCGGCCUAUCAGCUUGUUGGUGGGGUAAUGGCCUACCAAGGCGUCGACGGGUAGCCGGCCUGAGAGGGUGUACGGCCACAUUGGGACUGAGAUACGGCACAGACUCCUACGGGAGGCAGCAGUGGGGAAUAGUGCACAAUGGGCGAAAGCCUGAUGCAGCGACGCCGCGUGGGGGAUGAAGGCCUUCGGGUUGUAAACUCCUUUCGCUAGGGACGAAGCGCAAGUGACGGUACCUGGAGAAGAAGCACCGGCUAACUACGUG